rfam:Triticum aestivum genome assembly, contig: Triticum_aestivum_CS42_TGACv1_scaffold_221985_3B
AUACUACUCCCUCCGUCCGAAAAUACUUGUCAUCAAAAUGGACGAAAAUGGAUGUAUCUAGAACUAAAAUACAUCUAGAUACAUCCCUUUUAUUCAUUUUGAUGACAAGUAUUUCCGGACAGAGGGAGUACGAU